rnacentral:rRNA from 1 species
GCAUGCCGCGUGCAGGAUGAAGGCCUUCGGGUUGUAAACUGCUUUUGUACGGAACGAAACGGUGAGCUCUAAUACAGUUUGCUAAUGACGGUACCGUAAGAAUAAGCACCGGCUAACUACGUGCCAGCAGCCGCGGUAAUACGUAGGGUGCGAGCGUUAAUCGGAAUUACUGGGCGUAAAGCGUGCGCAGGCGGUGAUGUAAGACAGAUGUGAAAUCCCCGGGCUCAACCUGGGACCUGCAUUUGUGACUGCAUCGCUAGAGUACGGUAGAGGGGGAUGGAAUUCCGCGUGUAGCAGUGAAAUGCGUAGAUAUGCGGAGGAACACCGAUGGCGAAGGCAAUCCCCUGGACCUGUACUGACGCUCAUGCACGAAAGCGUGGGGAGCAAACAGGAUUAGAUACCCUGGUAGUCCACGCCCUAAACGAUGUCAACUGGUUGUUGGGUCUUCACUGACUCAGUAACGAAGCUAAC